GAAUCAUCCUUAUUGUAUUCAUUUCCAAAGUCUAAAAGCAGCUUUCUCUACAUAAGCAAAGCAAAGCAAAGCAAGCUUCCCAAUUACAGUACUUGCAGUAAUAAACCAAGAGCAUGGCAGAGGAGGUCACACAAUAUUUCUCAAAUAGUAGCAGCAACAACGAUGACAAAUCACUUGAAUUGGUCAUAUCUCAGCUGCCUAAAGCCAGUAGUUGGUUGAAGGGAGGUGUAACCUUAUACCAAAAUUGUUGGUUCCCAUCCAUCAACAUACCCAGCAUCAUCACCUUCCAAAAUCAAUUCAAAGCCAAAGACGAUGACAUAAUCAUGGCUUCCUCUCCCAAGUCAGGCGCCACUUGGCUCAAAUCUCUUUUGUUUUCCAUUCUCAACCGUAACCAACACUAUAAUCAACACCCCUUGCUCACCACGAGCCCUCACCAUCUCGUGCCUUCUUUUGAGUUAACGAUUUAUUCCGAUCACAAGCUCCAUGAUUUGAGUACCAUGUCAAGCCCUCGUUUGUUAUGGACUCACAUUCCCUAUGCUUCUCUUUCUGAUUCUAUCGAGCAUUGCUCCGAGUCUCGGAUUGUCUACGUUAGUCGAAACCCUCUCGAUGUCAUUGUCUCCAUGUGGUAUUUUGCAAAUGGUGUUCCGGAGCAGGAGUGGACUAUUGAAGACUGUGUUGACGAGUUUUGUAGAGGACAGAAUAUAUUUGGGCCAUAUUGGGACCAUGUUUUAGGGUAUUGGAAAGCAAGCUUAGAGAAGCCUGAGAAAGUGUUGUUUUUGAAAUAUGAGGAGAUGAAAGAGGACACUUUUGGUCAAGCCAAAAGGAUUGCAGAGUUCAUAGGGCUUCCUUUCUCCCAAGAGGAAGAGAGUGAUGGAGUUAUUGAGCAAAUAUUGGAGAUGUGUAGCUUCAGUAAAUUGAAGGAUUUGGAUGUGAAUAAACAUGGCCAAGUGUGGCCUACCUUUGAUAAUAAACUGUUCUUUAGAAAGGGCCAAGUGGGUGACUGGAAGAAUCAUCUUACUCCAUCUCUAGUAGAGCGUGUGAGCAAGGUCAUUAAGGAAAAGUUGAGUGGUUCUGGCCUAUCGUUCAAGAUGUCUGAGCUAGAUUUUCUAGCUUAAAUAAUGUAUAAAGAUGUCCUUAGAUGUGGCGUGAGCGCACGGUGGAGAUGCUGGCAGUAACCCUCCGUCGGAUCCUAGUAGGAUCCCCACUUCAUGCAAGUUAGUCAAACAAAUAUAGCAACCCCACCAACAAAAAAGGGUAGUGGCACGAAUACUGAAAAAGAUUUGGAAAUCAGACGUAGAAAAGUUGGUCAUUCAUUGGAGCUAACAUUCAAUCCACACUUGUAGAAGGUUGUGGGGGUCGAGCAUGCUGCUUUUAUCCGCCUCGUCAAUACCCAAGUCUCACAGAGAAUUUCCAGACAUUAUGAUACAUGGGAAGCAGUGCCUCAACACUACAAAGACCUAGUCAUUACAAAUAUUAAGAUGAGUAAUUUAUAUAUAUAUGUAUAUAUAUUUGACAUUGGGGGAUUCGAACUUGUUGGGACCUCCUCUUUGUGAGGAGAGGUGCCACUAGGCUAUGCCUAAUUAAAAAUGGGUAAGAAAAGAGAGAAAAAACGAGUACCAAUAAAUUACCCAUAGAAAAAUUGGACAUAUAGUAUAUGGAAUGACCUACUAUAGGGGCAACUAUUACCUUAAUUAUAAUAACAUAUUCCAAAUAUUUAGUUUAUAUAUAAAUUGUAGUCUUUCCAUAUUUGGCAUGCAUAUAAAAGUCAAGUAUAUAAUGGCCUAUGCCGACCUUUUAUUGUA